GCAAAAAAUCUAACCCAAUAAAAUUAUCUAAUCUCAAAAAAUAACUACUCUCAAUAUUAAAAACUAACUAAAACAUUCUACUUGUCUAAGUAUAGGAGAUAGAAAAGACUAUAGGAGCCAUAAAGACAGUACCGCAAGGGAAAGUUGAAAAAUAUGAAACACUCAUUUAAGCAAAGAAAAAGCAAAGAUAAAACCUUGUACCUUUUGCAUAAUGAUUUAGCCAGUAUAUUUCAAGCAAAGAGAACUAAAGUAUGAAACCCCGAAACCAAGUGAGCUACUUAUAGGCAACCAAACAUAAAGGUUAUAAACCGUCUCUGUAGCAAAAGAGUGGAGAGACCUAUAAGUAGAAGUGAAAAACCUAACGAACUUGAUGAUAGCUGGUUGCUCAGAAAAAGAAUAAUAGUUCUACCUUAAGUACUCCUACAAACAAUACUAAAGUAUCUUUCAGAGAGACUUAAGAGAUAUCCAAUCGAGGUACAGCUCGACUGAAAAAGGACACAACCAAAUAAUGGAGGCAGAAAUCACAACCAAACACCCGUAGGCUUUAAAGCAGCCACCCUAAAAUAAAGCGUUAAAGCUAAAACCACAAUAGAUAUUCACAAAAAUUUAUUUUUUCCCCAAACCGAACUGAGCCAUUCUACCCUUAUAGAAGAAUUAAUGUUAAAAUAAGUAACAAGAACUAAAUAUUCUCUAAAGCACUAGCUUAAAUUAGUUCAGAUAAACUACUAAUUAUUAACAAUAGGGAUAUAUAAAUAAACAAAACUAAACUCACCCUAUAAACCACAUUGUUAACCCAACACAGGAGUGCAUAUAAGAAAGAUUAAAAUUUGUAAAAGGAACUAGGCAAACACAGAGCCCGACUGUUUACCAAAAACAUAGCCCCUAGCACUACAAGUAUUAGGGGUGAUGCCUGCCCAGUGACAUUGUUUAACGGCCGCGGUAUACUGACCGUGCAAAGGUAGCAUAAUCACUUGUCUUUUAAAUAAAGACUAGAAUGAAUGGCUAAACGAGGUUCUAUCUGUCUCUUACAAACAAUCAGUGAAAUUGAUCUUCUCGUGCAAAAGCGAGAAUAACACCAUAAGACGAGAAGACCCUGUGGAACUUUAAGUACAAGUCGACCAUUAAAUCUUUCCUAUAAACUUUACCCCUAAUUACUCGACUAUUACUUUUGGUUGGGGUGACCUCGGAGAACAAUAAACCCUCCGAAAAUUUUUUACUGAGAUACCACAAACCUAAGUGCUUUCGGCAAAGCGAUCCAAAAACUUGAUCAACGAACCAAGCUACCCCAGGGAUAACAGCGCAAUCCCCUCUUAGAGUUCAUAUCAACGACGGGGGUUUACGACCUCGAUGUUGGAUCAGGACAUCCUAAUGGUGUAGCCGCUAUUAAGGGUUCGUUUGUUCAACGAUUAAUAGUCCUACGUGAUCUGAGUUCAGACCGGAGUAAUCCAGGUCGGUUUCUAUCUAUGAUUGUAAAUUUUCCAGUACGAAAGGAUAGAAAACAUGUAGCCUAUGUUAUAGGACAAGCUACUCCUUGAAUUAGUGAAUACAACUUAACUAAAAACAAAAACAACACCUAUUACCCUAAAUAAGGGUC
rnacentral:rRNA from 1 species